rnacentral:misc_RNA from 1 species
UCAAACUUGGUCAUUUAGAGGAAGUAAAAGUCGUAACAAGGUUUCCGUAGGUGAACAUCUCUUUGCAGGUUCGCCAGAAUAAAAAGUCUCUUUUUGGUAGGCAACAUCUCUACUGUGCUGGGAUUUACAUUUGUAAUACCAGCAGCCUAGAAAUAGGCUCACAGGUCAAAUGGAGGUGGCCCAGUAUAGGGUUAAGAUAUGAUCGGGAGGCUGCUGGAAACAACAGCUAUACUUCCGCUGCGGAAGGAUCAUUACAGAGAGAACUUUGCCCCUUUGGGGUAGAUCUCCCACCCUUUGUUUAUAUUACCUUUGUUGCUUUGGCAGGCCCGUCUUUUGACCACCGGCUUAGGCUGGUCCGCGCCUGCCAGAGAACCCUAAACUCUUGUCUUUUGUGUUGUCUGAGUAAUAUUUUAUAAUAAGUUUAAAACUUUCAACAACGGAUCUCUUGGUUCUGGCAUCGAUGAAGAACGCAGC